CUAAGGGGUGUUGAUAUACUUUUGAUGUUCAGGCACCAUCUAUUUGAGAACCACAGAUAGGAAGUUAUUUUUUGAAAACAAGCAGCAUCAGCAACUGACUUUAAGCUAGAAUUAAGACCUAUUAUUCUAGUGUAAAAUGUCUUGAAAUACUUUCAGCAUGAAGUAUUGUGUGAUGAAAAAAAUGUGUAUUUACUACAAUGUGUAAAUCAACAAUAAAGGAGAUUAAAAGUGGGUGCUUAAAGACAUAUAAAGUGAUAUGGUCUAGUUCAACAACUGCCUGUAUUUUUGGAAUACUGAAGAACAGUCUGUUGUAACAGGUUAAACCCCAUGGAAAGAAUGUGCAUCAUCGCAUUGCCUGCCAAAAAAAGGAGCAAAAGAGAGACUACCUGAUGUAUGGACUUGAAUACCAGGUUUUACCCUGCACAAGCUGGCCGACAUGAGGAGAACAGGAGUGGGAAAACCGCGCCCUCUCCUUGACCAAGAAAAGCUGGAUUUGUUUAGAGGACCUGAUCAAAUGAGAUCAUGCACGAGACGCAUCGCGCAAAGGCCAUGACAGUAUAAUAGUUGCAAAGAAGUUUGACCGCCUGGUGGCAGACUUGGAGAGAAAGAUGAGAGCUGCACUCCGCUGCCUCAAAGAAAUGCUGAAAGGCCUUGAUUGAUAUGCAUCUUUCUUAUGUAUAUAGCUGUUCGUGUGUAUAUACUGUACAUGUUAUUAUAGUAUGCUAUUAUUUUUUGUUUAUUUAUAAUCAAAUUAUGUUUAUAUUUAUUUCAUCAAAUUGCCAUUGAUAUUUAAUUACUCAUGUAUGUUAAAAAAUGUUGGUGUACAUUAAAGUAUAAAAUUGAA